CAGAUCCAAACUGUAUCAACCAACAUGAUUUCACUGUGGCAGGAAACACUUGCCCAGAAAGCUAAAGAUUGCAAGUAACUUUAGUGUUUGUUUUAGGAAUUUCCCCUGAACUUACUUAAAACUGCCUAACUUUGGUAGAUUGCAACAAAUGACUGUUAACUCACCUUGCUAUCUCCAUGAUCUUGGAUUAUAUCAUGAUCCUAUUCAAUCUUAGACUUCCCCACACUGAAAGACCUUCCUUAAACCAGACUCUUAAACAUCAUAAACACUCUGAAUUUAUCUGUCCCACUCAGACAUUGUUAUGACCACCAGGGUAGUGCUUUUUCUUACUGCCAUGAGCUUUGCUUUAUCAACAUGUUGCCUUGGUGGUAUUUUAUGGGAGCCAGCAUUCGAUAAGCUGCAAUUUUCUUUUCCACACUAUGUAGUUGCUCCAAUCCUAUUUUAUCCAAUAUUCAUCCAUCCAUCCAGCCAGCCAGCCAGCCACUGAUUUAUUUAUUCAUUCAACAUAUAUUUAUUGAGUGCCUACUAUAUGUUCAGCACCCUUAGACCCUGGUUUAGUGAUGAUGGAUGAUGUUACAGCCCUUGUCUUUACAGCGUUCACCCUCUCCUUCAUCAUUACGUCACUUUCCUGCUGCUAGGUGAAGGGGCCCAGAAUAUGCCACUUUGGUUUAAGGAUUAUUUUGAGCUGAAGGCAAUUGGGAAAAUACAGCCACAGGAAAAGCUCUCUGUCCUUCUUCUUUCUGCCUAAAAGCAGGCCACGUUUCCCUUUGUAAAGGUAACAUAAAUUUCCACUUGUAAAGGAAUUGUGAAGUGGUGCCUCUCUCCAAUACCAGAAGAGGAGAAUAACUGUUAAUCACUGGAGAUGACUUAUCACUGGAGACAUUACCAAGGUGUUCUGAGCCUUAAGGUAUGGUUGCAGCGAUGACGCAUUGCAGAACCAAAGGAAUUUGUCCUUAGGAUAGACCUUCCAAAGGCCGAUCAACAGCGACAAAAAACAAGCUUUCAAACCAACAAGAGAAGACAUGAUUGCAGUGCCUUCAUAACGACAUUGCUUUAUUGAUGAAAUGCAAGGAAAACUACGUUAGAAUCUACUGAUUCUCUUUGAGAUCUAAUAAUACGCUUUAUUCAAAUCUUAUUCACAAACCACUUCCUCCACGGGUCUUUCACAGGAACUGAAAUUGGCCAGUUACAAACAGAAUUGGUUCUACUGUCCUUUGAAAUCACAGACGCAGACAUGUUUUAGAAUACAAAAGACACCAAGCUUUCUUUGGGAAACACGUCCUGUUUGGAAAAAAAAAAACUCACUUCUUAACAAAAAUUGAAAGCACGCCUAACUUCAGAUUUAUUUGAUUACAGAGUCUUUCUCAGGGCUAAUCAGUUUUAGAACAGGUUCCUACUGGCACCAGAGAGCCAAUAAAAAGUCCAGGAGAGAAGAGGUAACACAACAACUUAGGGAAACAAGGUUGUUUAUUUUUUUAAACAGUAUUCAUAUUUAUACCGCUGAGUGAAAUUAUUUAUACACACCCUGUAGGUUUUGCAUCUUCAGAAUUUGUUAGCAUUCAGAGGAUGAUAAACUGUACCUUGGACUUAUUUGUGAAAAAAUAUGUAGAUGACACCUGGUGGAGUUUAUUGAAACUAUUAUUCAGGUGUAGAGCCAGAGAAACUCAGCAGAAAGGGAAGCCGGGUUUUUAGAUGUCACAAUGGAUGGUUAAAAAUUUCAGCUUUGGGGCAACAUUAUAAUACUCAAAUUAUUUGCCUCUGGUCCUCAUUUUCUCCAUCUCUAGCAUCGGUUCUGAACUCAGGGUUUUCUGUAAAUAUUAAAUGGCAUAAUGCAUGCUGAGAGAUCUGUGUGGGCCCUCCCAGGGUUAAGAAUCCAAUAAAUGUUAGCUCAUGUAUCAUCAUUAUUACAGAGAA
rnacentral:lncRNA from 1 species